GACGAACGCUGGCGGCGUGCUUAACACAUGCAAGUCGAACGGAAAGGCCCUGCUUUUGUGGGGUGCUCGAGUGGCGAACGGGUGAGUAACACGUGAGUAACCUGCCCUUGACUUUGGGAUAACUUCAGGAAACUGGGGCUAAUACCGGAUAGGAGCUCCUGCUGCAUGGUGGGGGUUGGAAAGUUUCGGCGGUUGGGGAUGGACUCGCGGCUUAUCAGCUUGUUGGUGGGGUAGUGGCUUACCAAGGCUUUGACGGGUAGCCGGCCUGAGAGGGUGACCGGCCACAUUGAGACUGAGAUACGGCCCAGACUCCUACGGGAGGCAGCAGUGGGGAAUAUUGCACAAUGGGCGGAAGCCUGAUGCAGCAACGCCGCGUGCGGGAUGACGGCCUUCGGGUUGUAAACCGCUUUCGCCUGUGACGAAGCGUGAGUGACGGUAAUGGGGAAAGAAGCACCGGCUAACUACGU
rnacentral:rRNA from 1 species